GGAGGAGUGGCAGAGCGGUCGAUUGCACCGGUCUUGAAAACCGGCAUGCGUGAAAGCGCAUCGUGGGUUCGAAUCCCACCUCCUCCGCCA
rnacentral:tRNA from 1 species